rnacentral:rRNA from 1 species
UGUAUAAGCGACAUAGCACAGGUUUACCUGUGUGACUGCGUACCUUUUGUAUAAUGGGUCAGCGACUUAUAUUCUGUAGCAAGGUUAACCGAAUAGGGGAGCCGGAGGGAAACCGAGUCUUAAUUGGGCGUUAAGUUGCAGGGUAUAGACCCGAAACCCGGUGAUCUAGCCAUGGGCAGGUUGAAGGUUGGGUAACACUAACUGGAGGACCGAACCGACUAAUGUUGAAAAAUUAGCGGAUGACCUGUGGCUGGGGGUGAAAGGCCAAUCAAACCGGGAGAUAGCUGGUUCUCCCCGAAAGCUAUUUAGGUAGCGCCUCGUGAAUUCAUCUCCGGGGGUAGAGCACUGUUUCGGCUAGGGGGCCAUCCCGGCUUACCAACCCGAUGCAAACUGCGAAUACCGGAGAAUGUUAUCACGGGAGACACACGGCGGGUGCUAACGUCCGUCGUGAAGAGGGAAACAACCCAGACCGCCAGCUAAGGUCCCAAAGUCAUGGUUAAGUGGGAAACGAUGUGGGAAGGCCCAGACAGCCAGGAUGUUGGCUUAGAAGCAGCCAUCAUUUAAAGAAAGCGUAAUAGCUCACUGGUCGAGUCGGCCUGCGCGGAAGAUGUAACGGGGCUAAACCAUGCACCGAAGCUGCGGCAGCGANNGUUGGGUAGGGGAGCGUUCUGUAAGCCUGUGAAGGUGGCCUGUGAGGGUUGCUGGAGGUAUCAGAAGUGCGAAUGCUGACAUAAGUAACGAUAAAGCGGGUGAAAAGCCCGCUCGCCGGAAGACCAAGGGUUCCUGUCCAACGUUAAUCGGGGCAGGGUGAGUCGACCCCUAAGGCGAGGCCGAAAGGCGUAGUCGAUGGGAAACGGGUUAAUAUUCCCGUACUUGGUGUUACUGCGAAGGGGGGACGGAGAAGGCUAUGUUGGCCGGGCGACGGUUGUCCCGGUUUAAGCGUGUAGGUGUGUGUUCCAGGUAAAUCCGGUUCACUUUAACACUGAGGCGUGAUGACGAGGCACUACGGUGCUGAAGUAACAAAUGCCCUGCUUCCAGGAAAAGCCUCUAAGCAUCAGGUAACAUCAAAUCGUACCCCAAACCGACACAGGUGGUCAGGUAGAGAAUACCAAGGCGCUUGAGAGAACUCGGGUGAAGGAACUAGGCAAAAUGGUGCCGUAACUUCGGGAGAAGGCACGCUGACACGUAGGUGAAGUGAUUUACUCACGGAGCUGAAGUCAGUCGAAGAUACCAGCUGGCUGCAACUGUUUAUUAAAAACACAGCACUGUGCAAACACGAAAGUGGACGUAUACGGUGUGACGCCUGCCCGGUGCCGGAAGGUUAAUUGAUGGGGUCAGCGCAAGCGAAGCUCCUGAUCGAAGCCCCGGUAAACGGCGGCCGUAACUAUAACGGUCCUAAGGUAGCGAAAUUCCUUGUCGGGUAAGUUCCGACCUGCACGAAUGGCGUAAUGAUGGCCAGGCUGUCUCCACCCGAGACUCAGUGAAAUUGAACUCGCUGUGAAGAUGCAGUGUACCCGCGGCAAGACGGAAAGACCCCGUGAACCUUUACUAUAGCUUGACACUGAACAUUGAGCCUUGAUGUGUAGGAUAGGUGGGAGGCUUUGAAGUGUGGACGCCAGUCUGCAUGGAGCCGACCUUGAAAUACCACCCUUUAAUGUUUGAUGUUCUAACGUGGACCCGUUACCCGGGUUGCGGACAGUGUCUGGUGGGUAGUUUGACUGGGGCGGUCUCCUCCUAAAGAGUAACGGAGGAGCACGAAGGUUGGCUAAUCCUGGUCGGACAUCAGGAGGUUAGUGCAAUGGCAUAAGCCAGCUUGACUGCGAGCGUGACGGCGCGAGCAGGUGCGAAAGCAGGUCAUAGUGAUCCGGUGGUUCUGAAUGGAAGGGCCAUCGCUCAACGGAUAAAAGGUACUCCGGGGAUAACAGGCUGAUACCGCCCAAGAGUUCAUAUCGACGGCGGUGUUUGGCACCUCGAUGUCGGCUCAUCACAUCCUGGGGCUGAAGUAGGUCCCAAGGGUAUGGCUGUUCGCCAUUUAAAGUGGUACGCGAGCUGGGUUUAGAACGUCGUGAGACAGUUCGGUCCCUAUCUGCCGUGGGCGCUGGAGAACUGAGGGGGGCUGCUCCUAGUACGAGAGGACCGGAGUGGACGCAUCACUGGUGUUCGGGUUGUCAUGCCAAUGGCACUGCCCGGUAGCUAAAUGCGGAAGAGAUAAGUGCUGAAAGCAUCUAAGCACGAAACUUGCCCCGAGAUGAGUUCU